UUCGAGGGCGAUCCUUUGAACUGCAGGAUUCGAAUUAAAUUUGGUUCGUCGUUAUCGAAAACGUUCCUUCUUUCCUUCUGCCUAGGUGUGCAUACAAGCUAAAAUUGGAUUUCGCGGUGCGCCGACUGGCCCACUUAUUGUCCAAUAAUGGCCUUCCAUACGGAUCGGAAAGUCUGUAUAGAGAUCGAGAACACACUUGCUACAUCUAAUUUGCCGGAGUACCAAUGUGAACUGUGAACCCAAAAACCGUCAUUGUUGCAUAACCGUAAUCGAUUCCACUUCCACCCUGAAACAACAUCGAAUUGAGAAAAAUCAAUUUUUACUGAUUACCCUCGCACGGAACGAGACCCCAAUUUUCCUAAAUUGAAAUUUACAUAUAUAUGUCCUGGAAUAAAGAAACGUGGAUAAAUAUUGUUCAAAGGUCUCCAAGACAAUGUAAAAGCUAUCCUUCGUUACUCUUCUUUACCUCCAUCUUCACCUAUUCAUCAAUAACAUCGACAAACAUCAUCUACAAGCUGCACCCCUUACACCAAAAUCAACGGAGUCAUGAAAAUUAUCGCCGAUGCGACUGUCCAACAGCGGCAAAUCUCUGAGACUUCUGGAAUACUACAACCUUUUUCGUUUUGAUCAUAUCCGGUGGACCGGUAUGAUUGUCCACGAUUGGCUUAUUGCACGGACAUCAGGAAUACAACAACCUUCUCCCCGUAGAUGCUACCUGUUUACAGCAAUAAAUCUCAUCAGUUAGUUAAAUAAAUAGAACUGCCACUGCAAAGCGAUGUCCGUUGAAAUUAUAAUUCAUUGAUUACGAGGCUUAACCGCAAUCAACACCUAACUGAGCGUCAUUUGUACACGUUAUCACCAAAACUACGUAACAAUUAUACAAAUUGCUAUUAAUCAUCCUUUCUUCCUCAAUUUAUUUUCAGGAAUUAUAGAAGCUAU